AAAAAGAGCCUGAAGAAAGACUGGUCAUCCUUGCAGAUAUCAAGCCAGGCCUUAAGGGUGUUUGUGAAGUUCUCCAAGAGCACAUGACCCCACUGUUAGCAUGAGAAAAACAUCAGACAAUCGGCGAUAGAGAAACAUUUUACAAAACACCAGACCAAUACAUGUCAAAACUGUCAAGAUCAUCAAAAACACAGAAGGCCUGAGAAACUGCCACAGUCUAAAGGAGUCUAAGAAGAGAUGGUGACCAAACAUUUUUGACUCUUCAGAGCACAGUUGCUGUGCACCUGUGGGCCUGAUAAUUACCUGUCCAGUAGAAUAUGAAGAAACACGUACCAGAAACCUCUUAACAAGCUUAACCCAUAGAGAGGUGCUGUGAGAGUUUAAAGGAAGUGAUUCUACCUGGGUCUUCAUCAGCACCAUGAAAAUCUGUUCAGAAUUAUGGCACAGUGAAAGAAAGAGUCCAGCAGGCCUCCACGUGGAUCUGAAAUGUGGUUUGUUCACCAGAAUCUUAGCAAGGGCUUAACCUAGUUCAGUUUCUCAUUUAUGUGGUGAGGAUCAUAAUACUGUAACUUGUGCUGUUUUCUAUUAAAUGCUGCUUUCCU